rnacentral:rRNA from 1 species
UACAGAGGUCCCAAGCGUUGUUCGGAUUCACUGGGCGUAAAGGGUGCGUAGGUGGUGAGGUAAGUCGGAUGUGAAAUCUCCGGGCUCAACCCGGAAAUGGCAUUGGAAACUACCUUGCUAGAGGAUUUGAGGGGGGAUUGGAAUACUUGGUGUAGCAGUGAAAUGCAUAGAUAUCAAGUGGAACACCAGUGGCGAAGGCGAAUCCCUGGAAAAUACCUGACACUGAGGCACGAAAGCUAGGGGAGCAAACAGG